rnacentral:rRNA from 1 species
UUUUAUCAGAGAGUUUGAUCCUGGCUCAGGAUGAACGCUGGCGGCGUGCUUAACACAUGCAAGUCGAACGGGAAACCUUUUAUUGAAGCUUCGGCAGAUUUAGAUUGUUUCUAGUGGCGGACGGGUGAGUAACGCGUGGGUAACCUGCCUUAUACAGGGGGAUAACAGUCAGAAAUGACUGCUAAUACCGCAUAAGCGCACAGAGCUGCAUGGCUCGGUGUGAAAAA